UGGUGGUUUAUUGAAGCACGCAGACAGGACCCGUGGGCAGGGAGAGCUGCUGCCCCCGCUAUCCUGAGGAGUGGCUGAUUAUAUACAAAGGAGGCCAGUGGAUUAGGACUGGCACUACACCAGCUCGCCUGGGCCUCUAGCAUACAGAUGGCUGGUCAUGGGACAUCUCAGCCUUCAUCAUUGUCAUCUACUAUGGCAUACUGUAAUGCGCAAGGACUCUGGGCAGUAUAGGAUGGAG